AGCGAACGCUGGCGGCAGGCUUAACACAUGCAAGUCGAGCGGGCAUCCUUGUGGUGUCAGCGGCAGACGGGUGAGUAACGCGUGGGAACGUGCCCUUCGGUUCGGAAUAACUCAGGGAAACUUGAGCUAAUACCGGAUACGUGCGAGAGCAGAAAGGUUUAUCUGCCGAAGGAUCGGCCCGCGUCUGAUUAGCUAGUUGGUGAGGUUACGGCUCACCAAGGCGACGAUCAGUAGCUGGUCUGAGAGGAUGAUCAGCCACACUGGGACUGAGACACGGCCCAGACUCCUACGGGAGGCAGCAGUGGGGAAGAGUGGACAAUGGGGGCAACCCUGAUCCAGCCAUGCCGCGUGAGUGAUGACGGCCUUAGGGUUGUAAAGCUCUUUUCUCCGGGACGAUAAUGACGGUACCGGAGGAAUAAGCCCCGGCUAACUUCGUG
rnacentral:rRNA from 1 species